UGGGGAAUAUUGGACAAUGGGCGAAAGCCUGAUCCAGCAAUGCCGCGUGAGGGAUGACGGCCUUCGGGUUGUAAACCUCUUUCAGCAGGGAAGAAGCGCAAGUGACGGUACCUGCAGAAGAAGCACCGGCUAACUACGUGCCAGCAGCCGCGGUAAUACGUAGGGUGCGAGCGUUGUCCGGAAUUAUUGGGCGUAAAGAGCUUGUAGGUGGUUUGUCGCGUCUGCUGUGAAAAUCCGAGGCUCAACCUCGGACUUGCAGUGGGUACGGGCAGACUAGAGUGUGGUAGGGGAGACUGGAAUUCCUGGUGUAGCGGUGGAAUGCGCAGAUAUCAGGAGGAACACCGAUGGCGAAGGCAGGUCUCUGGGCCAUUACUGACACUGAGAAGCGAAAGCAUGGGGAGCGAACA
rnacentral:rRNA from 1 species